rnacentral:rRNA from 1 species
GAUGAACGCUGGCGGCGUGCCUAAUACAUGCAAGUCGAGCGAACAGACCAGGAUCUUCCUCCUCUGACGUUAGCGGCGGACGGGUGAGUAACACGUGGAUAACCUACCUACAAGACUGGGAUAACUUCGGGAAACCGGAGCUAAUACCGGAUAACAUGUUGAACCGCAUGGUUCAACAGUGAAAGACGGUCUUUCUGUCACUUAUAGAUGGAUCCGCGUCGGCUUAGCUAGUUGGUAAGGUAACGGCUUACCAAGGCAACGAUGCGUAGCCGACCUGAGAGGGUGAUCGGCCACACUGGAACUGAGACACGGUCCAGACUCCUACGGGAGGCAGCAGUAGGGGAUCUGCAGCAAUGGGCGAAAGCCUGACGGAGCAACGGCGCGUGAGUGAAGAAGGUCUUCGGAUCGGAAAACUCUGUUAUUAGGGAAGAACAAAUGUGUAAGUAACUGUGCACGUCUUGACGGUACCUAAACAGAAAGCAACGGCUAACUACGUG